GAUGAACGCUGGCGGCGUGCCUAAUACAUGCAAGUCGAGCGAACAGACGAGGAGCUUGCUCCUUCGACGUUAGCGGCGGACGGGUGAGUAACACGUAGGUAACCUACCUAUAAGACUGGGAUAACUUCGGGAAACCGGAGCUAAUACCGGAUAAUAUUUCGAACCGCAUGGUUCGAUAGUGAAGGAUGGCUUUGCUAUCACUUAUAGAUGGACCUGCGCCGUAUUAGCUAGUUGGUAAGGUAACGGCUUACCAAGGCAACGAUACGUAGCCGACCUGAGAGGGUGAUCGGCCACACUGGAACUGAGACACGGUCCAGACUCCUACGGGAGGCAGCAGUAGGGAAUCUUCCGCAAUGGGCGAAAGCCUGACGGAGCAACGCCGCGUGAGUGAUGAAGGUCUUCGGAUCGUAAAACUCUGUUAUUAGGGAAGAACAAACGUGUAAGUAACUGUGCACGUCUUGACGGUACCUAAUCGGAAAGCCACGGCUAACUAUGUG
rnacentral:rRNA from 1 species